rnacentral:rRNA from 1 species
AAGAUUCCGUAGCCACCGAAGUCGUUAAAUACAGGGACACAGGAACAUAGCCUAACCCCACCGUUGGUUGAGUGGGGCGUAAGGGAGCGAAAAUUAGUAGCGAAGUAGGUGAUUGUACACUGGCGAGAAAAGCUGCUAUGGAUUGACAAGGUGCCCGUACCGCAAACCGACACAGGUAGAUGAGGAGAGAAUCCUAAGACCAGCGGGAGAAGUGUUGUUAAGGAACUCGGCAAAAUGACCCCGUAACUUCGGGAUAAGGGGAGCCUACGCGAGUAGGCCGCAGAGAAUAGUCUCAAGCGACUGUUUAGCAAAAACACAGGUCUAUGCUAAAUCGAAAGAUGAUGUAUAUGGGCUGACGCCUGCCCGGUGCUGGAAGGUUAAGGGGAAGUGUUAGAGCAAUCGAAGCACUGAACUUAAGCCCCAGUAAACGGCGGCCGUAACUAUAACGGUCCUAAGGUAGCGAAAUUCCUUGUCAGGUAAGUUCUGACCCGCACGAAUGGCGUAACGACUUGAGAGCUGUCUCAACAACAUACCCGGCGAAAUUGAAGUACUGGUAAAGAUGCCAGUUACCCGUGAUAAGACGGAAAGACCCCAUGGAGCUUUACUGUAACUUGAUAUUGAAUUUUUGUAUUACAUGUACAGGAUAGGUGGGAGACAGAGAACUAAUGCCGCCAGGUGUUAGGGAGUCGAUGUUGGGAUACCACUCUUGUAAUAUGAAGGUUCUAACCUGCACCCGUGAAUCCGGGUGGGGGACACUGUCAGGUGGACAGUUUGACUGGGGCGGUCGCCUCCUAAAAGGUAACGGAGGCGCUCAAAGGUUCGUUCAGCACGGACGGAAAUCGUGCAACGAGUGCAAACGCAUAAACCAGCCUAACUGCGAGACCGACAAGUCGAGCAGUAACGAAAGUUGGAGUUAGUGAUCCGGCGGUAUGAGAGUGGAAUUGCCGUCGCUCAACGGAUAAAAGCUACCCUGGGGAUAACAGGCUGAUCUCCCCCAAGAGUCCACAUCGACGGGGAGGUUUGGCACCUCGAUGUCGGCUCAUCGCAUCCUGGAGCUGUAGUCGGUUCCAAGGGUUGGGCUGUUCGCCCAUUAAAGCGGUACGCGAGCUGGGUUCAGAACGUCGCGAGACAGUUCGGUCCCUAUCUAUCACGGGCGUAGGAAAUUUGAGGAGAGCUGACCUUAGUACGAGAGGACCGGGAUGGACGUACCGCUGGUGCACCUGUUGUUCUGCCAAGGGCAUAGCAGGGUAGCUAAGUACGGACGGGAUAAACGCUGAAGGCAUCUAAGCGUGAAGCCCCCUUCGAGAUAAGAUUUCCCAUAGCGUAGGCUAGUAAGGACCCAUGAAGACUACAUGGUUGAUAGGCCGGAGGUGGAAGUGCAGUAAUGUAUGCAGCUGACCGGUACUAAUAGUCCGAGGGCUUGACCAA